rnacentral:misc_RNA from 1 species
GACAUAUGGGGCGAGCGUUAAUCGGAAUUACUGGGCGUAAAGCGCGCGUAGGUGGCUUGAUAAGCCGGUUGUGAAAGCCCCGGGCUCAACCUGGGAACGGCAUCCGGAACUGUCAGGCUAGAGUGCAGGAGAGGAAAGUAGAAUUCCCGGUGUAGCGGUGAAAUGCGUAGAGAUGGGGAGGAAUACCAGUGGCGAAGGCGGCCUUCUGGACUGACACUGACACUGAGGUGCGAAAGCGUGGGUAGCAAACAGG